rnacentral:rRNA from 1 species
GAGUGGCGAACGGGUGAGUAACACGUGGGUAACCUACCCAUCAGCGGGGGAUAACACUUGGAAACAGGUGCUAAUACCGCAUAAUUCUUUUCUUCGCCUGAAGGGAAGAUGAAAGACGCUUUUGCGUCACUGAUGGAUGGACCCGCGCUGCAUUAGCUAGUUGGUGGGGUAACGGCUCACCAAGGCCACGAUGCAUAGCCGACCUGAGAGGGUGAUCGGCCACACUGGGACUGAGAUACGGCCCAAACUCCUACGGGAGGCAGCAGUAGGGAAUUUUCGGCAAUGGGGGGAACCCUGACCGAGCAAUGCCGCGUGAUUGAAGAAGAUCUUCGGAUCGUAAAGAUCUGUUAUUAGGGAAGAAUGGAAUUGAUAGGAAAUGGUCAAUUUAUGACGGUGCCUAAUGAGGAAGCCCCGGCUAACUAUGUGCCAGCAGCCGCGGUAAUACAUAGGGGGCGAGCGUUAUCCGGAAUUAUUGGGCGUAAAGGGUACGUAGGCGGGCCUGCAAGUCUGAUUUGAAAGCACACGGCUUAACCGUGUGAGGUAAUUAGAAACUACAGGUCUAGAGAGUGGUAGAGGUAAAUGGAAUUCCAAGUGGAGCGGUGAAAUGCGUAGAGAUUUGGAGGAACACCAGUGGCGAAGGCGGUUUACUGGGCCACAUCUGACGCUGAUGUACGAAAGCGUGGGGAGCAAACAGGAUUAGAUACCCUGGUAGUCCACGCCGUAAACGAUGAGUGCUAAGUAUCGGAGGAUUCGGUGCUUAAGCUAACGCAGUAAGCACUCCGCCUGGGGAGUACGGUCGCAAGACUGAAACUCAAAGGAAUUGACGGGGACUCGCACAAGCGGUGGAGCAUGCGGUUUAAUUCGAUGCAACGCGAAGAACCUUACCAGGUCUUGACAGUGUAAAGAAUACUUAAGAGAUUAAGGGCUAAGAAUUAAGCUUGCUUAUUUCACUUUAUAAACAGGUGGUGCAUGGUUGUCGUCAGCUCGUGUCGUGAGAUGUUGGGUUAAGUCCCGCAACGAGCGCAACCCCUAUUGCUAGUUGCCAUCAUUAAGUUGGGCACUCUAGCAAGACUGCCGGUGACAAAUCGGAUGAAGGUGGGGAUGACGUCAAAUCAUCAUGCCCCUUAUGACCUGGGCUACACGCGUGCUACAAUGGCUAAUACAAAGAGUUGCAAAACCGUGAGGUAGAGCUAAUCUCAUAAAGUUAGUCUCAGUUCGGAUUGUAGUCUGCAACUCGACUACAUGAAGUUGGAAUCGCUAGUAAUCGUAAAUCAGAAUGUUACGGUGAAUACGUUCUCGAGUCUUGUACACACCGCC